AACGAACGCUGGCGGCAUGCCUAACACAUGCAAGUCGAACGAGACCUUCGGGUCUAGUGGCGCACGGGUGCGUAACGCGUGGGAACCUGCCCUUAGGUUCGGAAUAACUCCCCGAAAGGGGUACUAAUACCGGAUAAUGUCUUCGGACCAAAGAUUUAUCGCCUUUGGAUGGGCCCGCGUUGGAUUAGCUAGUUGGUAGGGUAAAAGCCUACCAAGGCGACGAUCCAUAGCUGGUCUGAGAGGAUGAUCAGUCACACUGGGACUGAGACACGGCCCAGACUCCUACGGGAGGCAGCAGUGGGGAAUAUUGGACAAUGGGCGAAAGCCUGAUCCAGCAAUGCCGCGUGAGUGAUGAAGGCCUUAGGGUUGUAAAGCUCUUUUACCCGGGAUGAUAAUGACAGUACCGGGAGAAUAAGCUCCGGCUAACUCCGUG
rnacentral:rRNA from 1 species